rnacentral:rRNA from 1 species
UACGUAGGGGGCAAGCGUUGUCCGGAAUCAUUGGGCGUAAAGCGCGUGUAGGCGGCCCGGUAAGUCCGCUGUGAAAGUCGGGGGCUCAACCUCGAAUGCCGGUGGAUACUGUCGGGCUAGAGUGCGGGAGAGGCGAGUGGAAUUCCGUGGUGUAGCGGUGAAAUGCGCAGAGUAUCAGGAGGAACACCAAUUGCGAAGGCAGCUCGCUGGAACGUAACUGACGCUGAGACGCGAAAGCGUGGGGAGCAAACAGG